UCUGGCGGCUGUAGCGCGGUGGUCCCACCUGACCCCAUGCCGAACUCAGAAGUGAAACGCCGUAGCGCCGAUGGUAGUGUGGGGUCUCCCCAUGCGAGAGUAGGGAACUGCC
rnacentral:rRNA from 2 species